UCUGUCGAAAUAUACCAGACACUCGUUAAAAGGCUAUGUUCACACUUGGCGUCUUUUUUGACAAGAAAGAGUUGACUAGGAAGAUUUUGUAGUAAA